rnacentral:snRNA from 1 species
AGCUUUGCGCAGUGGCAGUAUCGUAGCCAAUGAGCUUUAUCCGAGGCGCGAUUAUUGCUAAUUAAAUACGCCUCUCCAAUUGGCUUUGACCACAAGUGUACAGCCGUGGAUUUAGCUAUAUGAUGCCAUCAUAGAAGACAUUUUAUUAAAACAUAUUUGGCACCUUUUUUUUUUUUCCACAAAAG